UACGGAGGGUGCAAGCGUUAUCCGGAUUCACUGGGUUUAAAGGGCGCGUAGGCGGGCCGCCGCGUCCGGGGUGAAAUCCUCCCGCUCAACGGGAGAACGGCCUCGGAUACGGGCGGCCUGGGAGGGGGUAGGGGCUGUGCGGAACUGUGGGUGGAGCGGUGAAAUGCGUUGAUAUCCACAGGAACUCCGGUGGCGAAGGCGGCACGCUGGACCCCACCUGACGCGUGA
rnacentral:rRNA from 1 species